CACUAAGAAGCUAAACAGGGCCUCAGCAUUAGCCUUUUAAGCUAAAAAUUGGUGCUUCCCAACCACCCUUAGUGA
rnacentral:tRNA from 1 species